AGAGCUGAUUUUUUUUUUUUCCAUCUAACUUUAGCAGAUGUAAAGGGAAGCCCAUUCGUUCAUUUGCAAAAUCUUCUGGAAAUUUAUUUGGAUGUUGUAUACUGAAUGUCACUGAAAGUAGUUCAGAAUUUAAUUUCUGCAGAAGAGGAUACAUUGAACUCCGCAUUGUUCUUCACAGGAACCAGGUUUCAUCCCUAAACCUCACACUUUAACAAGUCCCAAAGUGUAAAAGGCAGACGUACAAAUGUCUACCACA
rnacentral:lncRNA from 1 species